UACGAAGGGUGCAAGCGUUACUCGGAAUUACUGGGCGUAAAGCGUGCGUAGGUGGUUUGUUAAGUCUGAUGUGAAAGCCCAGGGCUCAACCCUGGGAGGCGGGUGGAUACUGGUGGACUAGAGUCUGGAAGAGGAGAUUGGAAUUCCUGGUGUAGCGGUGAAAUGCGCAGAUAUCAGGAGGAACACCAACAGCGAAGGCAGAUCUCUGGGACAUGACUGACGCUGAGACGCGAAAGCGUGGGGAGCAAACAGG
rnacentral:rRNA from 1 species